rnacentral:rRNA from 1 species
UACAGAGGGUGCAAGCGUUAAUCGGAAUUACUGGGCGUAAAGCGUGCGUAGACGGUUAUGUAAGUCAGAUGUGAAAUCCCCGGGCUCAACCUGGGAACUGCAUUUGUGACUGCAUGGCUGGAGUGCGGCAGAGGGGGAUGGAAUUCCGCGUGUAGCAGUGAAAUGCGUAGAUAUGCGGAGGAACACCGAUGGCGAAGGCAAUCCCCUGGGCCUGCACUGACGCUCAUGCACGAAAGCGUGGGGAGCAAACAGG